AUUUCUUAAGCCAAACCGGUAUAUUGUGUGUAUAUUAGUCAGAAUGGAAAUACGAUGAAACGGUUUAGCAAAGUGGUUAUUCUGAUGUUUUCUCUAUUUUUCGGAGGUUUAUUAUACAAUUUCUUCCGAUACUGGUUAUGGGAAUAUGAAUACAACCCAUGGAUUAAGGCUUUGUCUUACACAGUCCAUCACAGAUCACAAAUUCACAAGUAUCAGUGAAGAACUUCCGGGAAAAGAAGAUUGUAAGGUAAACAAUGAGAGUAUGUGUAUAUGUUUAUAUUACAUCAAGGAUUUGAAAAGCCUUACUAUACAAAUCCUUGAUAGCAUGCACACAUUAUUUUGUUGUUGUUGUUGUUUUUAUUUAGUAAAGAUUCAUGUUGUUUAACGUCCCUUUUAACCGAUAAUCGAGCCGAUCGUAUUCUUCUACAUAAUCAACUGUAUACCAUAGAUGUAAUACCAGUAUAGUAUUGAUGUAAUACCCAUUUAUAAUCACGUGUUUAUAAAUAAUAAAAUGUGUAAAUUCAGAUGCGGAUCCAGGAUUUUGAAAAAGAGGAAAAAAACUACACAACGUUAGGAGUAAAACAUGAAACAUAUGCAUUAACUAACAUACAUAUAGCUCUUUCCCCCCUCUUACGUCCGCCUCUGGAACUAUAGCAUCUUACUAGUACCGCAAAUAAAUCUGACCUAUCAGAACCAAAUCUUAGCUUUCCAGACAUUGUGGCCACUAUAUAGUUCGGACACACUCAGUGGCGGAUCCAAGGGGGGGGGUCCCCCUUUUUUUUGGCCGAUCAAAUCAUUUGAAUGGGAGCAUAUAGUUGGAACCCCCCCCUUUUACUCUGGGUUGAGAACCCCCUUUUUAAAAUGGCUGGAUCCGCGCCUGACACUAUACCACUAUCACAUAGACAUUUACAGCGCAUUUCAUCAAGUGUGUAGCCAAUGUUAUAUCUUUGGUUAGCUUGCUUGUUAGCUGAACCGUGAAGUCAUUGUUAGAUCAGGUAUACCACCCUCCUUUUGAAGUAGAACAGACAGAUAGAUUGGUUUUCUGUCGGACUAGUCUAUUCUUAAAGUGGGGGUAGUUUACCUAACCUAACAAUGACUUCACGGUUCAGCUAACAAGCAAGCUAACCAAAGAUAUUACCUUUGGCUACACACUCAAUGAAAUGCGAUGUGAUAAAUGCUACUUAAAAUUUUAAUGAACAAAUUCAUUGCAAAAUUAAAAUGAUGUUGUUUGUUUGUCCAGUGGCAAAUAGUUCAUGCUUAUUCAGAACGAAAAUUAACUCAAUAAGUAGGUCCUGUAAUAGGGACCGUCCGUGAUAAAGGUCAGGAAGAUGAUUUUCAUUCGAGCUUCAUUUAUAAGCUCGUUUGAGGUGAAUUUCACGUAAAAUUUAUGUGAUAUUCUCAUGAGCAAAAUUUGCAUGUGUAUACAAACUUUUUUUUAAUCUGAUAUUUUUGUUUUAAUAAAGUACUUUCUUUUCUGAUAUAAAUUUGUAGUUAAAAGAAAAGGGUAAAGCAGUCGAACAACCUUUUUUGUUAACAUUUAAUUGGGUGUUUUUAUUUUUUCAGGUUGACAGUAGGACUUUGCCAUGCAUUCAAAUGUUUAGACACAGAAAGAGAUAAAAAUGUGUUCAGCCUGGCAAAUAUAUGGAAUGUAAAAACUUAUAACCGAGUUUGUCAUAUUAACAUUGACUGUUUUACAUGUACUGCCAUAUAUUUUCUGAUAAAAAUAGAAACUUACCAUUUUUGUAUACGUUGAUUGUUUUUAUUAUGAUUUGAUCAAAACGAUUACUCGAAAAUGGUUAAGAUUGGACUUGUUUUAGCAUGUUAUAAUAACCUCCCUUUACAGUUAUUUCAUUUAUUAAUUUAUUCACAUUUUAAAUGAUAAAUAGACGAAAACAAUAUCAAUUUUCUCAUUCAACCAUAGUCAAAUAUUUUUUUAUAUGCAGUUAGAAAUUUUUGAACAGAUAGAUUUAAAACUUUUAAGGCACAACUAUUGUAUACUGUUAUUGUAUCAUAUUAAGUCAGAUUAUUGAUUGGUAUAUGUGUAAAUAAUUCAAAUUGGUCU
rnacentral:lncRNA from 1 species